AGAAAAAUUGGGCUCGCUAAAGCUCGCCCUUUUUUCUUUGUCGAAGCCUCACCGGAUAAACUUUCUCCAUCUCGGCACCAACCAUGUAUUCUCUAUUUAUGCCAUAAAUAGUAUGCUAUGAAAAUCAAGAAAUAUCUUUAAAAAUAUAGUCCGCGUGUAAUUUUCUGUACCACUUGUCUUAAAAACGUUCUGUAACAAUAAAAGGUCUAAGUUUAUACUUUUUCAUUGACUUUUACUUAUUUAAUCUACCUUCCGGAACCUCCAUGUAUCCAGAUUACCCGCCAUCCACAGUGACAUCAGAUAGCUGGGUAACGCUAAUACCUGAUGGCAAGAUGUGGCGUUAUUUACCAUCGCUAAAUGAUGUAGCAGUUGAAGACAGCCAAACGAAGCGCCAGAAGGCCCCCAUGGCAGAUUGGUCCGAGCCAGAUUGUUUUAAAUGCGCUGGUGCGGGACAACUGGAGCCUUCUAUUCGGCGAGUAUAAGGGGAUCGAGGCCGAAAAGAUUUCGGUUAUUCGAAUAAACAAAUGGGACGAGGUGGCGAGCAAAAUAUCAUUAGAAUUCAGGGUCGCAAGAACUGGUGAACAAUGCUGCAAGGUGUACCACAAUUCCAAGGCUCGGUACAUUCAAAAGGUCGAAGAAAUGCGGCACCCAAUAACGGGAAGCAGUGUUGCAGUCUAGUUUUCAUCGUCAGAGGAGGUGCUUGCCUCCACGAUGCAAGGCCACCCUGUAGUUCAAGGACUGGGACGAUGUUGCAUCACAGAUGAUGAUUAGGGCAAUCGCAAACACAUUAACGAGCAACCAGGAACAGAAAGCUUCUUAAUAUGCGUUAAAAGCAGUGAGCGUGCCACAACCGCCAGCAGUGAAGAACAUAAUG